UUUAUAAAAAUUGCAGGUUUGAUGUAUUUGUAGUAUUCCCUUUAGAUUAAUUUCAAAAUCCUGGCACUGACAGUCUAAAUUCAAUAGCUAAUUAAGACAUAUUUUUAUGGGGGUGGAUAUCACACACCUAAUUUGGAUGUCUAGUUUAGUCUAGAGUAAGUUUAAACUAACCUAAAAAUUCUUGCUAUUCUCUCUAUCCCAGCUAGAUUGUUACAGGAAUACCUAUGGGACAAGAGCUAAUUCUUAAAUAAAGUGACAUCAUCAUGCCAUGUUCAGUCCAGGAAUUUGUAAAUGGACUCCUAGCUUUUUUAAAAUAAGUAUUUAUGUCUGAGUGAUCACCUGGUUGUUUAAUGAUUAAUAAUUGUAAAUUAUACCUUUGUCUUGGGGGGGAAAAAAGAGUUCUUAAAAAAACACUGUUGGCACUUGGACGCUACAGUAAAGCAGUCAGAUUUGUACUUGACCAUCUGAAUUUCUUCCUGCAACCACAACUUCUGUGCACAGAUCUACUACAACUUUUAGGUUUUGAUGGAAUUAUAAUUAACCCAUCAAAAAAGCACUGUUGUGGGUCUUGUGAAGUAUUCUCCUUUGCUGGUGAUUGUUUAUUAAGAGCUAAGUAUUAAAUUAUUUUAGGGAAGGUCCACUCUUAACUAGCUUUUUGUUUGCUGCUAAACUUGGUUGUAGAACAUUUAACAUAAUUUCUUGUAUAGUUACCAUGAAUUAAAUUUGGGUUUAGGUUGAUAUUUUAUCUUAAAAGACCACUGGUUUUCUAGUUUUAUUUGCUACAAAUGAAUGAAAAACAGUACAAGUUUCAACUUCUUUGACCUCUGACUCAUCUGUUCAGGAAAAAAGUCUUAAUUUAGAUAAUCAAAUUGGUACCAGGAUUUCAUUUGUGAUGUCUGAAACUUGGUUGGUAAAAUAAAAAAAAAAAAUGUAAUUUCUGACUCAGCUAAAUUACUACUACACUGGCUUCUGAGCAACUGACUGGAUCAUCCUGAACUUGACUUUUCAAGCAUCUUCUUUGUGUUGAUGUAAAUGAUUAAUUCCUGGUAGUUUUUGGGAUCAUAUUGGCACAAGUUGAUAUUUAGGUUCACUGUCUAAUAGACAGUAUAGUGAAAUAGCUGGAUAUUGUUUAAUUCCUUGGUAAAGGUAAGUCAUAUAAUGUAUUCUUAGAUAUAGAUGAUAACUUCUAUCACUAAUCUGAAAUAAGAUAAAUUAUGAUGGGCAUUUCAUUCUUUUCUGAAAUUUCAAUAUUUUUCCACCAGCUUUAUGGUACAUGCUGCUUAAAUAAAACAUUCCACUUCAAAUGAUAUUGCUUACUCUUGUCAUGUCUCAACUGUUGUUGAGACAAUAGACUGUACCCUAAAUAGACUUUUUGUGUGUGUGUUUAAAACAUUAAAUAUAAAUAGCUAAGGAUAUUUUUAGCUGAGAUUUCAUACUGAACUGUAUUUCAAUUGUAGAUUUGAAAAAUUGUGCCUCCGGCAUAGGCUCAGUGUAGUGCCAUGCUGUGCCUUGUUCAGGACACACUUCAGGGAAAGACCAUCCAGUUAUUAUAGCAGAAUUGGUGCCUCAGAAAUUAUAUGAAAGCAUUAAAAUUCCUUGUGCUUAAAACAGUGUUUAAAAUCCACACUUCUCACACCUAAAUUCAAAGGCACAGUUUCUUAGGAUAAUUGAAGUACUGCAAACAGGACUGUGUAAAUAUGCUCCCUCAUUCAGGAAAAGAGGCUUUUAUUUACAUUUAUGUUGGAGUUGCACAACCAGGACAGUAUAUAAUUUGUUGAUUUUUUUUUUUCCCUUUGGGCAGUCUGUUUCUGCCCUCUCAGCAUCUCCUCACUUUCAGCUUUAAGCCUGACAUAUAGAGAGUUAACCUCUGCUUACCUGGAAAAAAACACCUUCUGGUUUCCCAGAAACACCUCCAGAUAUGUUUGCUUAAAGCGUUCUUGUACCUGUAAGCAUUUCACUUCAUUUCAUACAAAAAUGGGGACUUUUUACACAGAUAUGCAGCAAUAGGAAAAAGGAAAAUGGUUUUAGUUAAAAGAUGGAACUAAAGAGGAUUUAACUAAAAGAGGAGAGAUUAAACUUUACUCAAAAGGUGGUGAGGGUCUGGAACACUGCCCAAAGGAGCAGUGGCUGUGCCAUCCAGGCAGGUGUCCAAGGCCAGGCUGGGUGGGGCUCUGAGCAGCCUGGCACAGUGGAAGGUGUCCCUGCCAUGGCAGUGACAGGGAAUGGAUGAUCCUUAAGGUCCCUUCCAACCCAAACCACUCUAAGAUUGUGUAACUUAGCCACAUUAAAUUAUUGAAGGGUAUUGGGCAUUGCUCUUGCUAGCCAAGCACAAGUCUGCAGAGCACACCUGAAAUCUUUCUAAUGUGGUGUGUGUGACAUGUUACUGAAAUUUAACUGCUGUUUUCCACAGUUGAAAAUUAUAUUUAAGGAGGAGAUGGCGUCCGGUGGCAAACAUCUCGCUGCAAAGCAAGGCUUGCUGUGGAGGUACCAGUGAUCACUGCAGAAACUUCCAUUCAGCCUAAGCAAUGCACAUGUUAAUCCAGCCAAAUGCAAGCUCAUCUAUCUAUCAGGAAAGAAAAAAAGACUGUGGGCUGUGUUUUCAGGGAAUAUGACGACGAUGUGGUCCUGUACACAACGGGAAGGGUAGAAACAUCCAAUAGAUGCGAUAAUUGUGGAGAACAUCAUGUGGUAGUUCUGGUGCCAUGCAAUAUGUGCAGGCAGAGCACAUUGCUGAAGAGUGUAUUUUUUCAUGUUAGUGCUUUACAAGAGUAGGAAAAAAUUUAAAAGUAUAGAACUCACCCGUAAUUAUUUGUAUGUGUUGCAAACAUGCUUUCUAUUGAAUUUAAUAGAUAACAGGAUUUAAUUAGUUAAUACAAAUUAUUGUAGAAGUUGGUAUGCUGUCAGAAGUACCUGCCUGGUAAAGAAAUUUGCAUGGAAUAAUUAUUUGAAAAGUAGACACACUUAUCCUGUGACUACAAUAUUUAUAAUAAAAAAUCUGUACAUUUAAAACAUAAUUUAACAAUAUAAAUACAAUUGUCUGCAUUUACAGCCAAUGAGGGCCUACUGACAAUUCUUUUUCUUCUCCUGAAGAAAAAUAAUCAGUUUCAUUGUUUCAUAAUGGAAGUAAUAUUAAUAUAAGGAAUUAAUAUCUCUCCAGUUUUGGUUGUUCAGGGAUUUUUUAGCUUUCACAGUGAGUAUUUUAUCAGUAGUCUUUUACAGUCAUAUCUGCCAAGAUUGCCUUAACUUGAACAAAAUCCCAGUCUGAAACGUGAGUUUCUGUGCUUCACAAAGUGUAGGUAUUUGUAUGUGUAGGGAUUUGAGAGAUGGAAGCUGGAAGGAAAGGGGUACAAAUGGGAAAAUGCUGACUUCAGUGGCCACUCUUGGCAAGUGCCUCUUCCAGCAGCAAGUGUUGCAUCAGAUGUUUUGCAUUCUGCUUUUCAGAGUAGCAUUUCUAUGAUUAUUAAUGAUUCAUAUAAUUGCUCUAAGAUUACUUUUUGUACAGGGGAAGGCGUGGUGUUAAUUGGAGAGUUGAUGCUCCUGAGCAGUGUAACAGCAGUGAGGAGAGCUUUGCCCUCAGGAAAGGUGAUGGGCAGGGGAGGGAGCACAGCAAUAAGAAGUCUUAGACACAGAUUGUUGGCGAUUUGAUUAAUUUAAAUUUAAAAAUAACUUAGUUGGUUUAAGUAAUCAGACAUGACUCACUGGUUUUAGUAUCUCUGCAAAAGUACUGGUGAAAAAUGAGACAAAUUUGAAUAAACAGAGAAGUAAUGAACUCAUCAGUCAGUUUUUUGCUGUCCAUCUUACUUAACAUCUUUAGCAACAGUAAGAAAGGGGCUCAGGCCUGCUUUCCUUGUGCUCUUCUCAAGGAAGAGCCCUUCAGCAGGUGUAGUAUCAUUUACAGCAGGAUUUUGAAGAGCAUUCAGUGGAGGACAGGAGUCUGUCUUUAUAUCCAUACAUUUACUUUUUCAUAAAGCACCUGCUUAAAACUUAUCCAUGAGUUAAAAUAAUAUGAAAUUAAAUUUGUAAGUCUUUCAGAAAUAUAAUCAAAUGCAGAGACCAUUUUACACUGGAGUUAUACUGCAAUUAAAGCAGGAUUUUGUGGAUUAAUUAAGACUUCAUUGCUACAAGUGAAUCUUGCAAAUAAUUUAAAUGAAUGUAGAACAGCUUUUUCCCUUCCCCUUCACCCAGACCCUGUAGAUGACAAAUUAGAAAAAUAUGCUGCAUUUUAAAGAUACAGGCAGGAAAGUUGAAAAGUCUUUAAAAAGUUUCUUUAUGAGGUUGAUAUCCAGUUUUAACAAAAUUUCACAAAUGCAGUAUUGUAUUACUUGUUCUGUUCAUUGCUGGGUUUGGCCUGUUUGGGGAUAAACAGCUCAGUGUCUGCACGUGGAUGCUGAGCAUGGUUUCUCAUGCACAGAGAUGAUAGUGGGGAGGUAAAUAUGUUUCUAAAUAUGAUCUCUGUAGUUUUCCCUCUGUCUCCUCUGCAGUUAGGAUUGUGUUUACCUUUCUGGAUCCUCUUUAAGCUUAUGGUGAAUGAGAGGGAAGGGCUUUUCUUUUUUUGUUGAAAUGUAAAACCUGCCUUAGAAGUCGAUUAAAACUAAUACUAUAUAAUACUUUUCUUCUUGACAUAUUUCAUUGAUGUUGUGCCAUGUGUUUCAGUAUUGCUAUUACAUCACUAAAUCAGGAAAAGGGGCAAAUAUUUGUUCAUGGGAAAUGAAAGCUAAAAAAACAGAGCAAGUUGUCAGCUGUCUAAAUUUCUUCCUGACAUAGAUAUAUUUAUAAAAACUAAGAAUUUAUUAAUUGUACCUUGAUCUUCUUGAUCUUAUUCUUCCUGUUGCUUUAACAAGUUUAAUUUGAUUGGCUGUUAUGGUGAAAAACAAGCCGGAGGGAUUUUUUUUUUUAGUUUGUUUUUAUGGUUGCAAGUUUAAACUUGACAGCUUGUGUAUAGAUGUCUUUCUAAAAGAGAAAACUGGAGAUACAGCUCCCUCUGUCUGUCCUGGGAGUACCUCUGGUGUCUUUGGAGAGCACCUGCAAAUGAUCACAGGAAGAGCAUCUUUAUUGCCAACAUGAAAAUGCAAGAAGAAAAUGUGAGGAUAACUUAUUUUACAGGUCAGCAGUUGAUUUAAGUUAACUGGAACUUUAAAAGAACAAAGGUUAUGUUCUUAGCUGAAAAUACCUCAGUGGAGAUGCCUAAUUCAAAAUACAGAAAAACAAACCCAUGCAGUUUCUCAAAAUUUAAAAUUAGAUUAUUAUUAGAAUGAAAUAUGUAUGUAUAAAAGUUUUGUCUAUUCUUUAGUGCCCAUACAAAUUUUUGCAGACAUAAUAGUGGCAAAUACACUUUGUUUUUGACCAUUCAUUUAAAAAAGAUUCCUAAACUGUGAAACAUUAGUGAAUAUGACAGAAACUGGAAUGAAAAUGUGACACUAUAUAAAUCACAUCUUAACAUUUAUACAUGCCAGAAUACCUAAAUAAAAACUUAGGUUUUAUAUACUCUGUUGUCAUCUCUUCAGUUCCAGUCUGUGGAUGUGGUUCUGGCAAAGACAAUAUAGAAAAUGCAGUCUGUCUGGGUUUGUAUUUGUACUGAAGGUACACUAGAGCUCGAAAUAGGUUUCUGCUAGACUUACAGUGUUAUUAGAACUUUAUAUUAGCUGUAAUUAUACUAAUGGUAUUAACAUAGCAUUAACAAGGUCAUAGCACAAGUUAGUAACUGUAAAACAAAACCUGAAGCAUUGUGAUAACUUGUACACUAAAAUGUGUGGAAGCUUAGUAAUCACUUAGUCAUCAACAUUUCAGGCUAGGAAAGCUUCAUUUUUAAAUUGAACAUUAUUUUAAGCUCAUCCGUCCACAUGUUUCUUGUAAAUUAUAUAUAUAUUUUUUUUUUACUCAAGUAGUUUCACAUGGAGGAACAUCUCUUGUAGAGUUUGCUAAGAACUGAAAUAAGAGGUACUGACAGUCUUGGCUGGUAAGUGUGUGAAAAUGGAGAUAUCAUGAAGCCGUGUUGUAAUGCAGCACAGAAGUUACAUUCUCAGGAGAAAUGACACAUGCAUGCCUGUUAAUGCCUGCACAGCCUGCAAGCCUGGUCCUGCAGCCUGCAACUGUGCCUCCAGCCUUGCUCUGCAAGCAUGGGACUGUGGAGGUUGGAAAAGACCUUUCAGUCAUCCCAGCACUGCCCAGCCCAUCCCUAAACCCAUCCCCAGUGCCACAGCAGGCAUGACAUGGCUCCAGAUCCCUCCAGGGAUGGUGACCCAGGCACUGCUUUGGGCAGCCUGCUCCAGUGCUGACAAUAUGCAUGAUGCCUUGUUUCUAAAGUGGCCCAAAUGGAGACUGAAAUCUUGGUAAGCAGUGGGAGCUGGCAGAACAGGGGUUAAGGUCAGUAGGCUGAUUGUGGGCUUCUUUGGAAGCAGAAAGGGCUUGAAACUCUGCAAAAUGAGGUCCACUGAGUAUGGGGCAGUGCAAGCUGAUGGCCAGCACUUGUUGAUAGCGACUAAAUGUGAUGAUGGUGAAUUAAACCAGUCCUUGGUGUGGAGGCAGGUUCACUGGUGUAUAGUGUACUGCAUUUCAGGAUGGCUUAGUGGGUUUUAGGAGGCUAAAGUUAGGAAAAUUGUAACUAAAAAAAUCCUUGGAAUUGAAGCUUGUGUAUUUCUUUUAACUGCCUCUCUUUGGGAGGGCAGGAGGAUGACAGAAAAAUUAUUUGAGACAAAAGGGUAAUUAGUCUGUAGUGUUGCUGCACCUAUUACAGAUACAAGAAGUUUCCACUGUUGUAAAAAAUAUGACCUCUAUACAUAAACAGCAUACAGCCUGUAGUUCUCACUGCUACUCAGGUGUAGUACUCGCUUUACAAACUGGUAAUGUGAAAUUAUAAAAUAGUAGAUUAAUUAAAUGGGCUUGGCAAAUGGCCUGCCAUGUAUUUGUACUGCACUUGACAGUAUUCUAAAGCAAAGGUGAUGAAGGGUUGGUUGGGCAUUUGUCAAAUAAGCCUGUCCACCAGGGCCCUGCCUGUUUUCCAUGUCUGUGUCUGAAGUAAACACAGCAGCACUGGGCUGCAGCCUGCACACCUGGACAGGAGCACUGCUGGAGCCAACACUGUGAUGACUGACUGGCAGGGAGAUUAAAAUCUCAGCCUCCCCUUAAACUGUGCAGGUAUCUUACUUCUUAGAGCACUGACUUAAGGCUUUAUGAAUAAAUCUCUAGUUAUUUGGAGAAGAACAUAUCACAGGCUCAGCACAGAGGGUAUUUUCUGGUUGCUGUUUGGACUUGGUAAGUUUUGCUCCUCCAGGCAAGCUGGCUAUUGUUCUUUUAAAUUUAAGUGAAACAGCAGCAGCAGUCAGCAUUUGUCUCUGAGACAAAAAUAAUUAUUGAAUCUAAUUGCAGUGACCAUUAGAUCCAGUUGUAUACCAAAGGGAGUACAGCCCUCCAUAAAUACCACUUUUCCCAAUAGUUCAGUACUUCAGCAGCAUAUUUAAAAUACACUUUCACAGUUUAUACACUCCCGUAGUUACAGUUGGCAAAUAUUUUACUUGAUAUAGUCAAGUUCUAGCUGCUUUCAGGAUUCUGUUUCACUUUAGCACUCUUUGUACAGAAAAAAAAUGUUAUAAAGUUGGGUUUCCAGAGAAAAGGCAAUGCAUUAUUUUUUUUCAAAUAUAAUCUUGAGCAAAGAGAAAUUUGCAUGUCUUUGUGUAGUGUUUGGGGUUUUUUGUUUGGUUUGUUUGUUUGUUUGGGGGUUUUAUUUGUUUUUUAACUUUGAUAAGGAAAUAAAGAUCUAAGAAUUUCUGCC
rnacentral:lncRNA from 1 species